UGCCCAGUGAAUAAUUAAACGGCCGCGGUAUCCUAACCGUGCAAAGGUAGCAUAAUCAUUUGUCCAUUAAUUGUGGACUCGUAUGAAAGGCAUAAUGAGAGCCCGACUGUCUCUUAUAACUAAUCAAUUAAACUGAUCCCCCAGUACAAAAGCUGGGAUACUCCCAUAAGACCAGAAGACCCUGUGAAGCUUUAACUAACCUAUUAAACCCAAUAAUAACUAAUUUCGGUUGGGGCGACCUUGGAACAAAAAAGAACUUCCAAUAUAUGACCUCCUCAUACAAAAGGCAAACAAGCCACAUUAGACCCAGUACACCUGAUUAAUGAACCAAGUUACUCCAGGGAUAACAGCGCUAUCUUCUUCAAGAGCCCAUAUCAAAAAGAAGG
rnacentral:rRNA from 1 species